UAGGGAAUCUUCCACAAUGGACGCAAGUCUGAUGGAGCAACGCCGCGUGAGUGAAGAAGGUCUUCGGAUCGUAAAACUCUGUUGUUAGAGAAGAACACGAGUGAGAGUAACUGUUCAUUCGAUGACGGUAUCUAACCAGCAAGUCACGGCUAACUACGUGCCAGCAGCCGCGGUAAUACGUAGGUGGCAAGCGUUGUCCGGAUUUAUUGGGCGUAAAGGGAACGCAGGCGGUCUUUUAAGUCUGAUGUGAAAGCCUUCGGCUUAACCGGAGUAGUGCAUUGGAAACUGGAAGACUUGAGUGCAGAAGAGGAGAGUGGAACUCCAUGUGUAGCGGUGAAAUGCGUAGAUAUAUGGAAGAACACCAGUGGCGAAAGCGGCUCUCUGGUCUGUAACUGACGCUGAGGUUCGAAAGCGUGGGUAGCAAACAGGAUUAGAUACCCUGGUAGUCCACGCCGUAAACGAUGAAUGCUAGGUGUUGGAGGGUUUCCGCCCUUCAGUGCUGCAGCUAACGCAAUAAGCAUUCCGCCUGGGGAGUACGACCGCAAGGUUG
rnacentral:rRNA from 1 species